GCCGGAUGGCGCGCGAGGCUUUGCGGCCUAGUCGGGCUGUGAGGCGGCCGGUGGUCGGAGGAGCUGGUGGGGAUGGGGGGCUGAGAUCGGCCCUGCCGACACAGCUCGGCCCUGAGGAGGUUGGUGGGCGGUUGGUGGCACCGAAGUGGAGCAGAAGGACAGCGCUGCUUUGUCUGUAAGGAAGAAAAGCUUUCCUUCCCGCCUCUGUAAGAAGGAAAUUAUCUUAGAAUGAACCCACUGGGACCCUUAAACUAUGAGAGAAGUCCAUAUCCCAGCAGAGUGUGCAAACAAAGCAGCCAACAAGAUGUGGCCAGGAGGCAGCAGCUCUGUCCCCUGUGAGGUUUUCUCCACAGACGUGCAUCCCUGAGUGCUGUUUGUAAGCUGAACUGAUGGGUGCAUUGCAGAGGGAUUCGCCACAGCUCAAGGGAAUGUUUCGCAGAAACUGAGACCGUCGCUAUGCUAAUACAGCCUUUGGCCAUUCCCAGGGCUCUGCAUGCAGCUACUCCAGACCCUAUUCAGCCCAAGUGCUGUCUACUGCUCCUCCUGGCCUUAACAGGAACAGAGUUCAGAUAAUUGUGUUUUUUGCACCGUGCUGUGAAGUCAAGAAGAAGUGAAUCAGGUCACAUUCUGUGAACAGGCAACAACGAUUUUUCCUGGAAAGUCUGGAAGAUGUGUUCUGACAUCACAAAAUUGAAGGUUUCUUAAUGAAGGCCACCUUGUUACAAGAAACCUGAACCUGAAAUGAGAGUAGAGAUCAUGUCCUGAGUCACAUAGCUCCACAGAGAACUUCAGUUUGCAGGCAGGAAACAAAUGCUCUCUAACAGGUAAACUGAUAGCACUUUUUCUUAAAAACAAAGGUCCUUCCUACACACUUGCCACCAAUUUUAGUUCUGCAAUGCAAAAGAUUGCAAUUCCUUUAUGUAACCCUACAGGACAUCAAAGAGAACUCCCAGGAACUGGUAGUCAUCAUCAGGUAAUGAUGAUAUCAGAUGAGACAUCCUGUAGGGAUCCUGCAGGGGUUUUUGGACUUGAUCUCCAGAGCUCCCUUCCAGCCCCUACAGUUCUGUGAUUCUAUGAAAGACAGAAGCCUAUUUCCAAAGCAACGUUUUUGCCUGGAAUAGGAUUACAUCAGUGUGAUGCUCACUUUUGUAUGUUUUCCUAUGACUGAGUUAAUUCGAACAGGGCACUUGCAAUAACAAGUUCUGCUGAUGAUCUGUAAUCAGAGUCACCAGCAAACCAUGAAGAUCAAUAGUUACCUGCAUCACGAAUGGAGCAUCACCCUUUUCUGCCUCAACAUGUCCUCUUUUUUGUCUGUUUUAUCAUUAUUAGAUGUUGUAAUGUAUGGAAGUUUGGAGUGCUUUUGUGGAUAACAUUGUAACAAGAAAUGCAUUUACACUGGGAAGCCAGACACCAGUAAUUUUGGGUAGGGUGUCAAGCUGACACAUCUGCUAAGCUACUGUUCAGUAGACCACAUGUACUAAAUUGCUGUAACUCUCUGCUCUAAGUGUUUAAUUUAACCAAUGAUAAACGCACAGUGAUGUACUUUAGCAAGACUCUCUGUGAUGAGGGAUGAAGAGAAGCAGCACUUGCCAUGGGUAAAGAGCAUGCACAUGUCAGUCACUGAGAUGGGGUGAUGAACACUUUGGGAUAUUUUGCUUGCCAGACUUAGCUACUUAAACCAACUCUGCAGGGAAACCAAGUCCUGAGACCAAACAAACACACACACAAAGGAUGCUUACUGCUGUUAAAGCAACAUCUACAACUUUCCAAACAUUUUCCAUCUCCAAGUUUUCUUUAAGGCUUCCCCUCAGUUGUUAGUAGGUUACAUAGUUAUGACAUUUAGCCAACACUUUCAGUAGGUUCAGCAUUUGAUUCAGGGCUCUUUGAAAUACCCCGAAUUGUAUUAUUUUAAAUAAGCACCUUAUCAAUUCAUCUUAUUCUGUUAUUCUUGAAGGAAGUACAGUUUGAGAAAUCCUAUUCUUUUUGACAGUUUUCUCUCUGUAUUUCGUUACUUGGGAACUGAUCUCCCUCUAGCUGGCAGAUUUACAGACCCUCCCCUGCUGUCUGCCUUUCAGGAAAGCAGCUGGCAACCAGCUCCAGUUCUGCUGCUGUCACCCCUCUGCCAUUCAGGCACCUGUCUUCACAAGAGACAUUUUCUGCCUGCGUGGAAAUCCACAGUGGCCUUCCUAGUGACUGAGGGUGCUGCUGCCUUCCAUUAUGACUCCUUUAUCUCUGGGGCAAACAUCAAGUAACAUUUUUUUUCUGGUUUACAGUUCUCUCUGACUUGGGGUUUGCCUUUCUUCAGGUUAUUUGGAGUCAAAGAACCGGUUGCUCACCACAAGUUUGUGCACAGAGAUGGAGAACAUCAGAACCCAGCUCCUGACAGGCACGAACCAGUUUGGUUUAUCUUCUCAGCUCAGGCACGAUCCCUUUCACUGUUUUUUAGUGCUGGUUUAUCUUGCCCUUAUCAACAAGCAGCAUUUUUCCAAUUUAAGAAUUCAACUCACAGCUGACCUGCACCUACACAGACAAACAAAAAAAGAAUAGAAGAAGAGCAAGAAGGAUGUGGUUUAAACUUGCCAAAGAUUCAGAAUUACCUUCUUCAGGUUUUCUAUGAGAUGAAACUCAUAUGGUUUCCCUGCAAUGCUGUGGUAGCAACUCAAGAUUUCCAGAAGCUCUGCUAUGUUUUUACACUGUACUUCACUAGAUUCUUCCAAAGAAGUUGCACGCUGUUAAGAAUUGAAAUGAUCUCUUAUUCCCCUGAACAGUUAGAGUAAAGCAGACCACUGCAGAGUUGCAUCUUCCAUAGAACUUGUACAGGAAUAAUAUUUAAGCUUUAGGAUGUUUUGCCCAGCUUCUUUGUCAUUUAGUUGGAACCUGUACAUCUUGCCACAUGUGCCUGUUUACGCUUUCUUCUCAUUUUAUGUUUCCAUCAUUGACACCGAUUUUCUCUGCUAUGGUUUUUUUCAAGAAGCACUUAAGACAGCAAAACAAACAACAGCAAUACUCUUCCUAGGGCAGAACAAUAGCUUUCAACACCCACUAAACAGAGACACUGUCAGGAUGCCGGCUUUAACCUUCCCUCAAAGCAAACAGAAACCAAAGCUCAAACUGAGAGUCCUAAUUGCUCAAUCUCCCUUGCCAGGAGGCCCCUGGUCUGCAGGCCAGGAAUGAUGGCGAAACAAAAAGUAGCUGGUUGAGUUUUCAAGACAUGCUGUGAUUUACUCACUUGAAUUUGAACAAGGAACAGAGAUGCUGUCACAUAGAUUACUCACAAUCGUUUACCGCCAGCCCUUCACAGAGGACAUCACAGUGCUCUCAUGUCUGGCUACUCCGCAACAGACCCAGGAGCACUCCAUGACAAUCUGCAGUCUGUGCAAAUUAUAUCUCAAAAGGAGAGCGCUAAAAGAGACCAAGAAACAGAACAAAACUUCUUUGCCUUUGGCUUUGCUUUUUACUAACUAUUUCUCAGGCUGAUGAGAAGACCUCUCCCAGGCAUAAUGUGCCCCCUGCAAGAAAAGAACAUCUUAUUGUUAUAGAUUCUCUCAAACCAGGUCUUAGCUCAGUGCUUAUUAGAUUAUUUCAAGAUUAGUUACAUUCAUGCAUUCACAACACUCACAUGUAAGUACCGUUACAGUGAAAGAGAUUUACUAUCGGUUACAUGAGCAAGGCUCAUGUCUUUGACCCUACUAAUGUGUUCUUCCUCGGCUGUAUAGCUUGUCAUGAGCAUAACAGUGCUUCUUCAGAGCUGUACUCUGUUGAUGAUUAGAGGUUUUAAGAGUUAGGUCAUCUUUACCAUGCAGAGGCACAAUGGCAUGAUGGUCACAAGUGUUUGUCAGCAAGUAAAGCACGGGACAUCUUUCAGGAAGACCAAGGCACCUGGAAUUCUGUCAUUUGCCUGGUGUGACAGCAUUGUCCAGCUCCCAUUGCUGUGUGCAGUAGACCACUAAGAUACAACAUGCUGAAGCAAAAUUCUAAUCUAACUCUGCCUCUACUUUUCAUCAUGACAUCGAUUUCAGUUUAGGAACAAACCUAUUAACAUAUACUAAACCAGUAGCUCAAAAUGUGCAUAAACUGGACAAAGCUCAAAAUCAUACUCCACCAAUUGGUGUGGGUAAGCUGAUGGAGACACUCUUCAUUUCUUGAUGUAACAUUUGUGCAUGGCCAUUCGGAACGUGACUCAUCUUUCACACUUCUGUCACUACUGCUGAAACGCAUGACCCACCACCUCCCUGUGCCAACAUCCACUGUUUGAUCUCCAGAAACACUCACCAAGUGUUGAUGAAUGUCACUGGGUGCCAUUUUUUUCACAUGAAGGAAUUCAAUCACAUGCAUUUGUUUCGUACGCGCUUCCAUGCGGGAAGCCAUUUUGUCAGACUGACCCUCUGCUUCCAUUUCUCACAUGGCAAUAAGGUAUAAUGGAAUACUGGUGGAUAGGUUAAUCUCUACUGCCAUCCCACCAACACCCACCUCUGACAUCAUGUGCCAAUAUCAUAAAACAGAAGACAUUACUUUCGGAACAGCCUCCAUACUAAAAGUCUCUGUCCUUUCAGAUGAGGACACAGGUCUGCACAGCUUGGAGUACAAUGGGCACUGCAUGCCAAACUUAUCAUGUGAACACUGCAAUACAAAACCAGAAUUGCUUUUUUGCAGUGUUGUUAGCCCCUACUGUCCACCUCCAGGGGACUCUGAGGUGCCCAACUCCAAGAUCAGCAGACAAAACAUGCAGCAAAACAUGCAAGAAAUGCAUUGGGAGUGAACAACAGGCCUUGGAAGUGAAUCUGACCCAAUUUAAGAGAUGAGUAACACAUCUGUAAUCAACAAAGUGUUCUUCCAGUUGCACGUUUCAGCUUGAGCCUGCUCUAUUCCUUCCCAUUGUAUUCAAUUUCUGUAGGAUUUCCUAUUGAACUCAUGCCAGUUUUGCACACAUUGCUCCACUGAGGCUGUGUCCCUCGAGAAAAAAUAUUGAAUUGUUCCAGAUGCUUUAACUCAUAAACCUCAACAACUUUAAUCCCCCAGCAAACCUUCCACUUCCCCAGGUCAACGUGGUCAAGGCUGCAUUCUCAAUGUAUCUACAUUUCCUUCCUGAAAUUGGCCAAGUUGACCUUCCACAAUAUUUCAUCUUAAGUAGAACAUUACAAGAAAAGAUUAUAUUAUAUUACAACAGGAUCAAACACCUCCUAGUAUUCAGUGGUAGACCCAGCACUGUUUUAAAGGAGAAAAAGAAGGGUGACACCCUUUACCUGUGAGGUGAGAGAGGUAGAAGACAACACAUCUACUCUAGACAAAUAAUGUGAUUUUCUUUAACAAAUAACAGCUCUUUCAACCUUCAAAAGGAAGACUUCCAAAGAAAGACUGAAAAAACCCUCUUGGGAACUCUAUAGUGAGAGAAAGUCAGAAACAGGACUGUGAGCAUUCCAGAGAAAACAGAAGUUGGGAAGGCAGAUAGUCCUUCUGUCUUAAAAUUAUCUGAUGUCACAUAUCACAUCUGCAAGCACUCUAGCAAAGUUUUGGGGUUUUUUUCUCACUAAGAGCCCUAUGCUGUUUUUCAGUUGCUUGUCUAUGGGUCCUGAAAGCUAACUGCUAAGAAACAGCUCUGUCUGCCACUUUCAUCACAUUGGGAUUUUUACACCGAGGAACUCCAAAAUGUUCUGACUGUCUACCAAGGAGGAAAGAAAUAAAUCAACAGUGGUGUGUA